UGGAAGACUAGUGAUUUUGUUGUUCUCUAGCUGACCGCACGACAACAAAUCCCAGUCUGCCUGA
rnacentral:pre_miRNA from 1 species